UACGUAGGGUGCAAGCGUUGUCCGGAAUUAUUGGGCGCAAAGAGCUCGUAGGCGGUUCGUCGCGUCGGCUGUGAAAACCCGGAGCUCAACUCCGGGCCUGCAGUCGAUACGGGCGGACUUGAGUGUUGCAGGGGAGACUGGAAUUCCUGGUGUAGCGGUGAAAUGCGCAGAUAUCAGGAGGAACACCGGUGGCGAAGGCGGGUCUCUGGGCCGAUACUGACGCUGAGGAGCGAAAGCGUGGGGAGCGAACAGG
rnacentral:rRNA from 1 species